rnacentral:rRNA from 1 species
UAACUACGUGCCAGCAGCCGCGGUGAUACGUAGGGUGCGAGCGUUGUCCGGAUUUAUUGGGCGUAAAGGGCUCGUAGGUGGUUGAUCGCGUCGGAAGUGUAAUCUUGGGGCUUAACCCUGAGCGUGCUUUCGAUACGGGUUGACUUGAGGAAGGUAGGGGAGAAUGGAAUUCCUGGUGGAGCGGUGGAAUGCGCAGAUAUCAGGAGGAACACCGAUGGCGAAGGCAGGUCUCUGGGCCGUUACUGACACUGAGAAGCGAAAGCAUGGGGAG